UACGAAGGGGGCUAGCGUUGUUCGGAAUUACUGGGCGUAAAGCGCACGUAGGCGGGUGGUUAAGUCAGGGGUGAAAUCCCGGAGCUCAACUCCGGAACUGCCUUUGAUACUGGCCAUCUAGAGAUCGGAAGAGGUGAGUGGAAUUCCCAGUGUAGAGGUCGAAAUUCGUAGAUAUGGGGAAGAACACCAGUGGCGAAGGCGGCUCACUGGGACGAUACUGACGCUGAGGUGCGAAAGCGUGGGGAGCAAACAGG
rnacentral:rRNA from 1 species